rnacentral:rRNA from 1 species
AAAUGUUGGGUUAAGUCCCGCAACGAGCGCAACCCUUAUCCUUUGUUGCCAGCGGUCCGGCCGGGAACUCAAAGGAGACUGCCAGUGAUAAACUGGAGGAAGGUGGGGAUGACGUCAAGUCAUCAUGGCCCUUACGACCAGGGCUACACACGUGCUACAAUGGCGCAUACAAAGAGAAGCGACCUCGCGAGAGCAAGCGGACCUCAUAAAGUGCGUCGUAGUCCGGAUUGGAGUCUGCAACUCGACUCCAUGAAGUCGGAAUCGCUAGUAAUCGUGGAUCAGAAUGCCACGGUGAAUACGUUCCCGGGCCUUGUACACACCGCCCGUCACACCAUGGGAGUGGGUUGCAAAAGAAGUAGGUAGCUUAACCUUCGGGAGGGCGCUUACCACUUUGUGAUUCAUGACUGGGGUGAAGUCGUAACAAGGUAACCGUAGGGGAACCUGC